rnacentral:rRNA from 1 species
AGAGUUUGAUCAUGGCUCAGAACGAACGCUGGCGGCAGGCCUAACACAUGCAAGUCGAACGCUGUAGCAAUACAGAGUGGCGCACGGGUGAGUAACGCGUGGGAAUGUACCAUUUAGUGGGGGAUAACUUCGGGAAACUGGAGCUAAUACCGCAUACGCCCGAGAGGGGAAAGAUUUAUCGCUAAAUGAUCAGCCCGCGUGAGAUUAGGUAGUUGGUGGGGUAAUGGCCUACCAAGCCUACGAUCUCUAGCUGGUCUGAGAGGAUGAUCAGCCACACUGGAACUGAGACACGGUCCAGACUCCUACGGGAGGCAGCAGUGGGGAAUAUUGGGCAAUGGACGAAAGUCUGACCCAGCCAUGCCGCGUGAGUGAUGAAGGCUCUAGGGUUGUAAAGCUCUUUCGCCGAUGAAGAUAAUGACGGUAGUCGGAGAAGAAGCCCCGGCUAACUUCGUGCCAGCCGCCGCGGUAAUAC